UACGUAGGGUGCGAGCGUUAAUCGGAAUUACUGGGCGUAAAGCGUGCGCAGGCGGUUUUGUAAGCCAGAUGUGAAAGCCCCGGGCUUAACCUGGGAAUGGCAUUUGGGACUGCAAGGCUUGAGUGCGGCAGAGGAGACUGGAAUUCCUGGUGUAGCAGUGAAAUGCGUAGAUAUCAGGAGGAAUACCGAUGGCGAAGGCAGGUCUCUGGGCUGACACUGACGCUCAUGCACGAAAGCGUGGGGA
rnacentral:rRNA from 1 species